rnacentral:rRNA from 1 species
UUUAAAGUCUGGCCUGCCCAAUGAUUAAUUUAAUGGCCGCAGUAUAUUGACUGUGCAAAGGUAGCAUAAUCAUUAGUUUUUUAAUUGAAAGCUAGAAUGAAGGGUUUAAUGAAAAAUAAGUUGUCUCAAUAUUAUAUUAAUAAUUUUAUUUUUAAGUUAAAAAGCUUAAAUUUGUUAAAAAGACGAGAAGACCCUAUAGAGUUUAAUAUUUAAAUAAAAAAUUAUUAAUGAUUAAUAAAAAAAGUUUUUUAUUUAAAAUAUUUUAUUGGGGUGAUAUAAAAAUUGAAUAAACUUUUUAUUAUUAUUUACAUUAGUUAAUGAUUAUUUGAUCCAAAUUUUUUGAAUGUAAGAAUAAAUUACCUUAGGGAUAACAGCGUAAUUUUUUUUUAGAGUUCUUAUUAAAAAAAAAGAUUGCGACCUCGAUGUUGGAUUAAAAUUUAAUUUUGGUGUAGAAGCUAAAAAUUUUAGGUCUGUUCGACCUUUAAAAUUUUACA